UUGGCGAAAUCCUCGAGGUCGUUGCCCGCAGUGAAGACGCCGGAGCCGCCGGAGAUCACGAUGCUGCGGAUGUCCGGAUCGUUCUGCGCGGAUUUGAUCGCGUCGGCCAUCGCGAUGUACAUGCCCUGCGUCAGCGCGUUCUUCUUGUCCGGGCGGCGCAUCGUGAUGAUGCGCGUGUUGUCUUCGUCGGUGACAAUUACGUGGUCGAUCAUUGGCGUUUCCUGAAAUGGCGAAGGCACUGCAACAUGG
rnacentral:misc_RNA from 1 species